rnacentral:rRNA from 1 species
UACGUAGGGGGCUAGCGUUGUCCGGAAUCAUUGGGCGUAAAGAGCUCGUAGGCGGUUUGUCGCGUCUGCUGUGAAAACCGGAGGCUCAACCUCCGGCCUGCAGUGGGUACGGGCAAACUAGAGUGCGGUAGGGGAGAUUGGAAUUCCUGGUGUAGCGGUGGAAUGCGCAGAUAUCAGGAGGAACACCGAUGGCGAAGGCAGAUCUCUGGGCCGUAACUGACGCUGAGGAGCGAAAGCGUGGGGAGCGAACAGG